rnacentral:rRNA from 1 species
GACGAACGCUGGCGGCGUGCUUAACACAUGCAAGUCGAGCGGUAAGGCCUUUCGGGGUACACGAGCGGCGAACGGGUGAGUAACACGUGGGUGAUCUGCCCUGCACUUCGGGAUAAGCCUGGGAAACUGGGUCUAAUACCGGAUAUGACCUCCUAUCGCAUGGUGGGUGGUGGAAAGAUUUAUCGGUGCAGGAUGGGCCCGCGGCCUAUCAGCUUGUUGGUGGGGUAAUGGCCUACCAAGGCGACGACGGGUAGCCGACCUGAGAGGGUGACCGGCCACACUGGGACUGAGACACGGCCCAGACUCCUACGGGAGGCAGCAGUGGGGAAUAUUGCACAAUGGGCGAAAGCCUGAUGCAGCGACGCCGCGUGAGGGAUGACGGCCUUCGGGUUGUAAACCUCUUUCAGCAGGGACGAAGCGCAAGUGACG